UACGGAGGGUCCAAGCGUUAUCCGGAUUUAUUGGGUUUAAAGGGUGCGUAGGCGGUUCAGUAAGUUAGAGGUGAAAUCCCGUGGCUCAACCACGGACCUGCCUCUGAUACUGUUGGGCUAGAGAUUGGUUGCUGUGGGCGGAAUGUGUGGUGUAGCGGUGAAAUGCAUAGAUAUUACACAGAACACCGAUUGCGAAGGCAGCUUACUAAUCCAUCAUUGACGCUGAGGCACGAAAGCGUGGGGAUCAAACAGGAUUAGAUA
rnacentral:rRNA from 1 species